UACAGAGGUCCCGAGCGUUGUUCGGAUUUAUUGGGCGUAAAGGGUGCGUAGGCGGCGGAGUAAGUUGGGUGUGAAAUCCCGGGGCUCAACCUCGGAAUUGCAUUCAAUACUGCUUCGCUCGAGUACUGGAGAGGAGGCUGGAAUUUACGGUGUAGCAGUGAAAUGCGUAGAUAUCGUAAGGAAGGCCGGUGGCGAAGGCGGCUACCUGGACCGGUACUGACGCUGAGGCGCGAAAGCUAGGGUAGCAAACAGG
rnacentral:rRNA from 1 species